AGCUCUAGUGAGUAUGAAUUUGUGAGGUAUGGGACAGGAUGGAGGAAAGUGAGGAGUGAUUCGAGGGCUCAGCAGAGUCACUGACAGGAUCUUUAGGAUGGGAUAAUCCAGCUAUUUAGAUGGCUCUGCUGCUACAAUUUGAUAUCAUCUCCUGGUCAAAAGAGGCUUUCUCAUUUGUGGUUCCAAAGUAACCAGCAAUGCCUUUUAUACAUUCCAGGCUCUUAAGAUUAAAUGUUCUCCUUUCACAGUAUAAAUGGAAUCGUGGAGCAAUUUCACCAGCACAGAGCACAUUCUUAA